rnacentral:rRNA from 1 species
GACGAACGCUGGCGGCGUGCUUAACACAUGCAAGUCGAACGGAAAGGCCCUGCUUUUGUGGGGUGCUCGAGUGGCGAACGGGUGCGUAACACGUGAGUAACCUGCCCUUGACUUUGGGAUAACUUCAGGAAACUGGGGCUAAUACCGGAUAGGAGCUCCUGCUGCAUGGUGGGGGUUGGAAAGUUUCGGCGGUUGGGGAUGGACUCGCGGCUUAUCAGCUUGUUGGUGGGGUAGUGGCUUACCAAGGCUUUGACGGGUAGCCGGCCUGAGAGGGUGACAGGCCACAUUGGGACUGAGAUACGGCCCAGACUCCUACGGGAGGCAGCAGUGGGGAAUAUUGCACAAUGGGCGGAAGCCUGAUGCAGCAACGCCGCGUGCGGGAUGACGGCCUUCGGGUUGUAAACCGCUUUCGCCUGUGACGAAGCGUGAGUGACGGUAAUGGGUAAAGAAGCACCGGCUAACUACGUG